rnacentral:rRNA from 1 species
UUUCGGUUAAAUCUAUAUGCUCGACAUAUAGGCUGCCGGGAAUACUGCAAAGCUAGGGAGUGGGAGAGGUAGACGGUACUCCGUAGGAAGGGGUAAAAUCCUUUGAUCUAUGGAUGACCACCUGUGGCGAAGGCGGUCUACCAGAACACGUCCGACGGUGAGGGAUGAAAGCUGGGGGAGCAAACCGGAUUAGAUACCCGGGUAGUCCCAGCUGUAAACUAUGCAAACUCAGUGAUGCAUUGGCUUGUGGCCAGUGCAGUGCCGCAGGGAAGCCGUUAAGUUUGCCGCCUGGGAAGUACGUACGCAAGUAUGAAACUUAAAGGAAUUGGCGGGGGAGCACCACAAGGGGUGAAGCCUGCGGUUCAAUUGGAGUCAACGCCAGAAAUCUUACCCGGAGAGACAGCAGGAUGAAGGUCAAGCUGAAGACUUUACCAGACAAGCUGAGAAGUGGUGCAUGGCCGUCGCCAGCUCGUGCCGUGAGAUGUCCUGUUAAGUCAGGUAACGAGCGAGAUCCUUGCCUCUAGUUGCCACCAUUACUCUCAGGAGUAGUGGGGCGAAUUAGCGGGACUGCCGUAGUUAAUACAGAGGAAGGAGAGGGCCACGGCAGGUCAGUAUGCCCUGAAACUCUGGGGCCACACGCGGGCUGCAAUGGUAGUGACAAUGGGUUCCGAAUCCGAAAGGAGGAGGUAAUCCUCAAAUGCUACCACAGUUAUGACUGAGGGCUGCCACUCGCCCUCACGAAUAUGGAAUCCCUAGUAACUGCGUGUCAUUACCGCGCGGUGAAU